GUGUUCACUGCGGCAGCGCAUGUGCUGACACUGGAACAAUACAGAGACGAUUAGCAUGGCCUCUGCACAAGGAUGAUAUGCAAACUUGUGAAGCGUUCUAUAUUUUC
ensembl:snRNA U6 U6 spliceosomal RNA